AUUUCCAGGUGUUUCCAUGAGAACUGGUCUGUAAAUGUCCAGGUCUUCCAGGACGAGUGGGAACUCUGUUAAAGACAGAAGGAGGGUCGGUCCACCUCCUCUUAGUGACAUUCACUGGUUCACAGACGAGAGCAGCUUCUGAACGACCACGCCUACUUCUGCUCUAACCAACCCUAGUUAAUGACAGACAGUCAGUGAGUGUGUCUGUGUCCAACUCUUCCUCACAGGUUAGUUAAUGAUGUUACUGAGUCAAUGUGAGCAGAUUGUGUCUGUAGAUUGAAGAGAAUCAGAGUCUCACUGAUGGUGGAAAUAAAGGUUUUACUUCCUUAAAACA